AAGGUUCCCUAAGAGGACCAAACGGCGAGUGCCCAAGUAAGUGAGGUUCCCUAAGAGGACCAAACGGCGAGUGCCCAAGUAAGUGAGGUUCCCUAAGAGGACCAAAAGGCGAGUGCCCAAGUAAGUGAGGUUCCCUAAGAGGACCAAACGGCGAGUGCCCAAGUAAGUGAGGUUCCCUAAGAGGACCAAACGGCGUGUGCCCAAGUAAGUGAGGUUCCCUAAGAGGACCAAACGGCGAGUGCCAAGUAAGUGAGGUUCCCUAAGAGGACCAAACGGCGAGUGCCCAAGUAAGUGAGGUUCCCUAAGAGGACCAAAAGGCGAGUGCCCAAGUAAGUAAGGUUCCCUAAGAGGACCAAAAGGCGAGUGCCAAGUAAGUGAGGUUCCCUAAGAGGACCAAACGGCGAGUGCCCAAGUAAGUGAGGUUCCCUAAGAGGACCAAAAGGCGAGUGCCAAGUAAGUGAGGUUCCCUAAGAGGACCAAACGGCGAGUGCCCAAGUAAGUGAGGUUCCCUAAGAGGACCAAACGGCGAGUGCCCAAGUAAGUAAGGUUCCCUAAGAGGACCAAACGGCGAGUGUCCAAGUAAGUGAGGUUCCCUAAGAGGACCAAACGGCGAGUGCCCAAGUGAGUGAGGUUCCCCAAGAGGACCAAAAGGCGAGUGCCCAAGUAAGUAAGGUUCCCUAAGAGGACCAAACGGCGAGUGCCCAAGUAAGUAAGGUUCCCUAAGAGGACCAAACGGCGAGUGCCCAAGUAAGUGAGGUUCCCUAAGAGGACCAAACGGCGAGUGCCCAAGUGAGUGAGGUUCCCCAAGAGGACCAAAAGGCGAGUGCCCAAGUAAGUAAGGUUCCCUAAGAGGACCAAACGGCGAGUGUCCAAGUAAGUGAGGUUCCCUAAGAGGACCAAACGGCGAGUGCCCAAGUAAGUGAGGUUCCCUAAGAGGACCAAAAGGCGAGUGCCAAGUAAGUGAGGUUCCCUAAGAGGACCAAACGGCGAGUGCCCAAGUAAGUGAGGUUCCCUAAGAGGACCAAACGGCGAGUGCCAAGUAAGUGAGGUUCCCUAAGAGGACCAAGCGUUGAGUGCCAAGUAAGUGAGGUUCCCUAUGAGGACCAAACGGCGAGUGCCCAAGUGAGUGAGGUUCCCUAAGAGGACCAAACGGCGAGUGCCCAAGUGAGUGAGGUUCCCUAAGAGGACCAAACGGCGAGUGCCCAAGUAAGUGAGGUUCCCUAAGAGGACCAAACGGCGAGUGUCCAAGUAAGUGAGGUUCCCUAAGAGGACCAAAAGGCGAGUGCCCAAGUAAGUAAGGUUCCCUAAGAGGACCAAACGGCGAGUGCCCAAGUAAGUGAGGUUCCCUAAGAGGACCAAACGGCGAGUGCCCAAGUAAGUGAGGUUCCCUAAGAGGACCAAACGGCGAGUGCCCAAGUAAGUGAGGUUCCCUAAGAGGACCAAACGGCGAGUGCCCAAGUAAGUGAGGUUCCCUAAGAGGACCAAACGGCGAGUGCUCAAGUAAGUGAGGUUCCCUAAGAGGACCAAACGGCGAGUGCCCAAGUAAGUGAGGUUCCCUAAGAGGACCAAACGGGGAAUGCCCAAGUAAGUGAGGUUAAGAGGACCAAACGGCGAGUGCCCAAGUGAGUGAGGUUCCCUAGGAGGACCAAACGGCGAGUGCCAAGUAAGUAAGGUUCCCUAAGAGGACCAAAAGGCGAGUGCCCAAGUGAGUGAGGUUCCCUAAGAGGACCAAAAGGCGAGUGCCCAAGUAAGUAAGGUUCCCUAAGAGGACCAAACGGCGAGUGCCCAAGUAAGUGAGGUUCCCUAAGAGGACCAAACGGCGAGUGCCCAAGUAAGUAAGGUUCCCUAAGAGGACCAAACGGCGAGUGCCCAAGUAAGUGAGGUUCCCUAAGAGGACCAAACGGCGAGUGCCCAAGUAAGUGAGGUUCCCUAAGAGGACCAAACGGCGAGUGCCCAAGUGAGUGAGGUUCCCUAAGAGGACCAAACGGCGAGUGCCCAAGUAAGUGAGGUUCCCUAAGAGGACCAAACGGCGAGUGCCCAAGUAAGUGAGGUUCCCUAAGAGGACCAAAAGGCGAGUGCCCAAGUAAGUAAGGUUCCCUAAGAGGACCAAACGUCGAGUGCCAAGUAAGUGAGGUUCCCCUAGAGGACCAAAAGGCGAGUGCCAAGUAAGUGAGGUUCCCUAAGAGGACCAAACGGCGAGUGCCCAAGUAAGUGAGGUUCCCUAAGAGGACCAAACGGCGAGUGCCCAA